GCCUUUUUCCUUUUCUGGAAAAGCCCAGCCGUGCGCAAUUCCCUUUUCCUUUUCCAUCCCCUCCUCCUCCGCUGCAGCUGCCCUGCUGCUUCCCCUCCCCCUCCUCGCCGAGGCGCCUCACGAGCGCUGUGCCCGCACGAGCGCCGCGAGGGAGGUGGCUAGUACGACGAGGCGUCGCGCCAGCACUAGCACCGCGAGGUCAAAGGGCAGCAACAGGCAAUACGGCGAGGCGCAGCAACCGCACGGGCUCCGCGAGUUCCAGGGCCGGAAGCGGCCAAUACGGCGAGGCGGUGCCUGUCUGGCGGCCGUACGGCCUCCGCCGCGUGCGCGACCUUGCUCCUGCGCCUCCUACCCGGGCUGGACCUCCCCCCGUGCGUCGUCCCCACCCGCAUCACCAAGCUUCCCAACGGCGUCCGCGACUCCGCGUCGCCUCCGAGGAUGUCCAGGAGGAGGAAUUGAUUCUCAGACCAUAAAAACAACAGAACAACAGGGAUGAUAUUCAGGUUUACAUAUCUCCAUAGGGAAUCGGAACCGGCUGUGGAUGUGGGAAAAAGAAAAUCCCUAAAUGCAUCUCUGAAACAAUGGCAUUUUUUCAGUGAAUGAACUAAGACUAGCAGUUCAUUUUUAUUCUGUUGGGGGAAUCUAUUUUGGACGAAAUUCUGAACACUUUUUCAAUGUGAUAGCAGCUGCCACUAUCUCAAGAAUGAGGAGAAAUUGAUUCUCAGAUCACAAAGAACCACAGAGCAGCAAGGGUGAUAUUCAGGUUGACAUAUCUCCAUAGACAAUCUAACCUGUACAGGGAUGAGUAAGAUAUGAAAAACUUCAAUUGAAAGCACCGCAAAGCCCAAGAAUAGUACAAUGGGCUCGACAUUGGUUGAACAUAGGGUUCUUGCAUGCAAGUGUAUGGCCGGGUAAAUAAGUACGUGAUUAAUAUGUUGGGAAAAGCAGUAAUGGUCGAGCAAAAUGAAUAGGAUAGACACAAUCUUCUCCCACAAAGUUACUGGUCAAGAUACUAUAUCGAAUGCGACAUUGCUAAAUUAUUCCAAAAGGCAUUUGAAACUCCAAUGGCGUUAUCUGUUCACCUGAGGGAGAGAAUGAUAGGAUUCCAGCUUGAUCGAAUUCACACGGUGUUUUUACCUUUAAGCUCAUACGGUUUCUGGUACACAGUUGUUGCUAACUUUAGGAAAAAAAUGUUCGAAGUCCUCUGCCCAAACAACAGAACCGACUUGAUUGCUGACGAAGCUCAGCUUGUAAUCAAGAAUUUCAAAGCUUCUUUCAGGCUGGCAUACAACAGAUCACAAGUAAAUGUGACUGACAUGGGCGUGUCUUUCUGGAGUGUGUGCUCUUCAAAAUAAAGAGAGCAUGCAAAGAGCCUGCGCGAGAGUCUAACUUACUACAUGGUCGCUCACCCUUGCAAUGAAAACCUGAUGCCAGAAACCAAACAAAUCUUAAGAAAAUAUGGUGUUCCAUUCGACUACUCGGUACGUGUGACUAAACGAAAAUUUUAUUUCAUUUCCUCUGUCUUUUUUGCAAACAGAUUUAUUUCUCUUUACAGUUUUUCCAAGGUUGUAUGUAUUCCCCUGUGAUUUCUAACCUUUUCUUUUUCUUUUCCCAUGAACAUAAAUCUCACAUACUCCAGGGUAUUCUCCAUGGG